rnacentral:rRNA from 1 species
UACGUAGGGGGCAAGCGUUGUCCGGAUUUAUUGGGCGUAAAGAGCGUGUAGGCGGCUUGGUAGGUCCGCUGUGAAAACUCGAGGCUCAACCUCGAGAUGUCGGCGGAAACCACUUGGCUAGAGUCCGGAAGAGGAGAGUGGAAUUCCCGGUGUAGCGGUGAAAUGCGCAGAUAUCGGGAAGAACACCUAUGGCGAAGGCAGCUCUCUAGUACGGUACUGACGCUGAGACGCGAAAGCGUGGGGAGCGAACAGG